CUCCCCUCAUCAAUUCCAUAUUGCUCAUUGGUACAAUAUGAUUAUAAGACCAAAAGCCCUUUAUAUAGUUGCAUCUAAGGCAGGAACAGCAUGCAAAAUAUCAACAAAUUAGUAAUCAAUUAGAAUUCUUUUCCCUUUUGAGACAGAGCCUCAGUAUAUAUCUAGGCUAGCCUUAAGCACACAGUGGUCCUCCUGCCUCAGCCUCCUGAGUGCUGGCAUCACAGGCCUAUGCCCCACAUCCAGAUAGGAGCCAAUUCUAACUCUCUCUUGUCAUUCACAGUAUCAUCCCUGCAUCCCGGAUCACUAAACAUAAUCUCACACUGAGAGACGUUUUCUGUAAGAGGUUAACUUGUUGUAUGAUGAAGCAGGAUAUUCAAUAUGGUAGGCUGAAGAUGCCCAACGUGAUUGCUCCACCAGAAGCCAUAAUCUGGUCACUUUGCCAAGGGUGAAGAAAUUUGAUUGGAGGAGAACUCAGUGUGAUGCUCAAGGACCCGAGUUUGAUCCCGAGUACCAACAAAAUAAGAAAACAGAAAGCAACACCGACACCGCAGAAACCGGACAAAUGAGGGAGAAGUCCACGGAAUUUAUUGCUGCUGAAAGGAUCAAAUAACCAAAGUGAAGCACUGAUCUAAGCUCCUGCUUCAUUCUUCUCUGCAUUAGAUAUCUCCCUUCGCCUCUCCAGAUCUGCUGUCCUGAAUUCGCACACACUGCUAUGUGCUGAGAAGUUGGUAUGCUUCAUACCAGCAAUAUUCUAUACGCUUUGAUUGAUGGUACCAG
rnacentral:lncRNA from 1 species